GAUGAAGAACGCAGCGAGAUGCGAUAAUUAAUGUGAAUUGCAGAAUUCAGUGAAUCAUCGAGUCUUUGAACGCACAUUGCGCCCCCUGGUAUUCCGGGGGGCAUGCCUGUCCGAGCGUCAUUGCUGCCCUCAAGCCCGGCUUGUGUGUUGGGCCUUGCUCCCCCGGGGGCAGGCCCGAAAGGCAGUGGCGGCACCGCGUCCGAUCCUCGAGCGUAUGGGGCUUUGUCACCCGCUCUGUAGGCCCGGCCGGCGCUUGCCGACCCCAAUCAAUCUUUUUUCAGGUUGACCUCGGAUCAGGUAGGGAUACCCGCUGAACUUAAGCAUAUCAAUAAGCGGAGGA
rnacentral:misc_RNA from 1 species